ACAGUCGGAAAUGCGAACGAUGGUGCUCAAGAUGGCACAUGCAACGCUAUGCAGCUGUGGACACCAGCAGCUUGAUAAGAACUCUCGAAGCUCAUCUGGAUGCUUCACAGAACCUGGGAAGACUGAACACUUUUGGCAAAGCAGCAACAGUUCUGGCCCAUCUGUUUGUCUACAAGACGGUCUCUUCCGUGAACACUCCUGUGCCUUACAGUAUACUAUACUGAUGAUCUUGUACAUCUCUCUGUAUUUAGGAUUGUCAGCACAUGGACUGCUGCACUGUGUUAUGCACGGUGCCGAGUCCAAACUUUCCAAUAACAGUGUGCAUUUGAAAAUUUUACAUGGUUUGAAAAGAUGCUGAAUGUUAACG